GCCCGGUGGUGAAAUCGGUAGACACAAGGGAUUUAAAAUCCUCGGCUUAUGGCUGUGCGGGUUCAAGUCCCGCCCCGGGUA
rnacentral:tRNA from 1 species